rnacentral:rRNA from 1 species
GAUGAACGCUGGCGGCGUGCCUAAUACAUGCAAGUCGAGCGAACGGACGAGAAGCUUGCUUCUCUGAUGUUAGCGGCGGACGGGUGAGUAACACGUGGAUAACCUACCUAUAAGACUUGGAUAACUUCGGGAAACCGGAGCUAAUACCGGAUAAUAUUUUGAACCGCAUGGUUCAAAAGUGAAAGACGGUCUUGCUGUCACUUAUAGAUGGAUCCGCGCUGCAUUAGCUAGUUGGUAAGGUAACGGCUUACCAAGGCAACGAUGCAUAGCCGACCUGAGAGGGUGAUCGGCCACACUGGAACUGAGACACGGUCCAGACUCCUACGGGAGGCAGCAGUAGGGAAUCUUCCGCAAAGGGCGAAAGCCUGACGGAGCAACGCCGCGUGAGUGAUGAAGGUCUUCGGAUCGUAAAACUCUGUUAUUAGGGAAGAACAUAUGUGUAAGUAACUGUGCACAUCUUGACGGUACCUAAUCAGAAAGCCACGGCUAACUACGUG